rnacentral:rRNA from 1 species
UCCAGACUCCUACGGGAGGCAGCAGUGGGGAAUAUUGCACAAUGGGGGAAACCCUGAUGCAGCGACGCCGCGUGAGUGAAGAAGUAUUUCGGUAUGUAAAGCUCUAUCAGCAGGGAAGAAGAAGGACGGUACCUGAGUAAGAAGCCCCGGCUAACUACGUGCCAGCAGCCGCGGUAAUACGUAGGGGGCAAGCGUUAUCCGGAUUUACUGGGUGUAAGGGGAGCGUAGACGGCAAGACAAGCCUGGAGUGAAAGGCGGGGGCCCAACCCCCGGACUGCUCUGGGAACUGUCUGGCUGGAGUGCAGGAGGGGUAAGUGGAAUUCCUAGUGUAGCGGUGAAAUGCGUAGAUAUUAGGAGGAACACCAGUGGCGAAGGCGGCUUACUGGACUGUAACUGACGUUGAGGCUCGAAAGCGUGGGGAGCAAACAGGAUUAGAUACCCGGGUA